rnacentral:rRNA from 1 species
GCCUAAAUCCAAGCUAUACAGCACCACAAAACUAUCACAAAACAAAGUCAAAUCAUUUACACCAAGCUAGUAAAUGCGAUUAAAAACUACCUAAGCCCACCAAGUACCAUAAGGGAAAAAAUGAAAGAUAAAUGAAAAACCCAAGCACUAUAAAGCAAAGACAAGACCUUGUACCUCUUGCAUCAUGGUCUAGCCAAAACCCCCCCGACAAAGAGAACUUUAGCCUGAUCACCCGAAACCAAACGAGCUAUUUAUGGACAGUUUCUCUAGAACGCACCCGUCCCUGUAGCAAAAGGGUGGGAAGAUCCAAAAAUAGCGGCAAAAAGCCAACCGAGCUUGGUGAUAGCUGGCUACUCAACAAAAGAACUUAAGUUCAACCCCAGGCCACCUAGGCCAAAGUACCCUACAAGCCACCCCCUAUUAAAAAGCCUGAGGAAAAUCAAUGGGGGUUCAGCUCCAUUGACCCGGAAUACAGCCCGAACUGCGAGAAACCACUUUUCAAAUUAUAGUGGGCCCCAGAGCAGCCACCAAAAAUUGCGUCAAAGCUCUAACUAAAACUAAUUCCUAAAAUCAAAUCAUCCUCCUGAUAUUAGUCUGAGUAAUUUUAUAAUUAUAUAAAAAUACCCAUGCUAGAACUAGUAAUAAGAAAAAUUCUCUUCGCACACCCUUAAACCAGCAUAGAAAACCUACUGGUAAUUAACAGACCAGAAAUGGGCUGACAUGCAUCAACUAGCCAUCCUGUCACCUAAUACAUCUGUUACCCCGACACAGGGGUGCAUAAAAGAAAGGCCAAACCCCGCAAAAGGAACUCGGCAAAAACAUAGUCCCAACUGUUUACCAAAAACAUAGCCUUCAGCCUAACAAGUAUUGAAGGUAUCGCCUGCCCAGUGACUCUUAAACGGCCGCGGUAUCCUAACCGUGCAAAGGUAGCAUAAUCACUUGUCCCCUAAAUAGGGACUGGAAUGAACGGCUAAAUGAGGACUUAACUGUCUCUUGCGGAACACCAAUGAAACUGAUCUCCCAGUCCAAAAGCUGGGAUAUUAACAUAAGACGAGAAGACCCUGUGGAGCUUUAAACCUUGACCACUAAACAUGUUCUCCUGGUUUUUAGUUGGGGCGACUUCGGAGUACAAAAAACCCUCCGAUAAACUGUAUUAAGAUACACACAUCAAGGUACCAGCUUAGACCCAGUAGUUUGUACUAAACUAUCUGACUAAUGAACCAAGUUACCCCAGGGAUAACAGCGCUAUCCCCUUCUAGAGUCCAUAUCGACAAGGGGGCUUACGACCUCGAUGUUGGAUCAGGGUAUCCUAAUAGUGCAGCCGCUAUUAAAGGUUCGUUUGUUCAACGAUUAAAACCCUACGUGAUCUGAGUUCAGACCGGAGAAAUCCAGGUCGGUUUCUAUCUAUGUAGCACUCUCCCCAGUACGAAAGGACCGGGAUAGUAGGAUCCAUGCUAGAAGCACAUCCUACCAAAAAUUACUGACCCUCGCUAAAGUAACUGCUGGCCUGCCAACCCAGCCUAAAAAUAUGGGUU